CUCCUUACUUUGCCUCCGCUUUCUCUCUUCUUCCUCCAGCAGCACCUUGCGACAUCCUCCUCUCUCCCUUUCCCUUUUCCUCUCCGUCUCUUGCCAUCUCCACUUUCGGUCAACUGCCCUGCUUCAACACAAUUUGCCCCCCCCCCCCGGCGGCCCCCUUAUUCUCUAGUUCUUAGCCUAAUCUUUUCCUCAACUCCCACUCCUACUACAGGGCAUUCUAUCAGCCAUUUCGGGCUUGCUCCCCACUUUAAUGUAGUGGACCUGAGGGUACCUGAAUUUCUGUGUUUUCCAUUUAGGCCCGUUUAUUUGCAAGGAAUGUAGGGAGGGAAGAGCUGAGCUUUCUUUGUUAAUCCAAUCGGUGGAUGGUCCAGCAUAAAACAAAAGGUUUUAGAGAGGUUUCUCUAUAUACUGUUGAUGAGGGUUUGAAAAUCUCUAAGUGCAUGUGCUUCAAGCAACCUUUGGUGAUUCGGUGAUUCUUAAUUGACCUUCAAAAUUGUGGCAGGCUUUCAUUGGAAUUGCCCCUGGAUCUCCUGAGGCGAAAUUACUGCAUCAAUUGCAUCGGAGAGUCAUCGGCAGGUAGUCCUUGCCUUUAUUUGCAGGUUUUCUGGCAGCCUCGACCUUGGGGGUUUUUGCGGGAUUGGAGAAUUUAGUUUAGAAUCUUCUUUCAAUUGUUUGCUAAGAUGAAGCUCUCUUUCUCCCUCUCCUCAAAGCCCCCAAAUUCAACCCUCAAGAAACCCUCUGCCGCCGCCACCGACUCCGAAGAGUCAAAAGAAUUCGUUACCGAAUUCGACUCCUCCAAGGCCCCAACCGCCAAAAAUCGGGAUAAUCGGGUAAUUCCUCCUAAGCCCAAUGAAUGGAGGCCGACUAAGAGGAUGAAGAACCUCGAGCUACCACUCCAAUCUGAUGCUCAAGAUCAACCAAUGCUCCAAUUUGAAGUUGUUGAAUCUGGCUCGUCUGACCCUACUUCUGAGAGUAUGUCCUACGGCCUUAACCUGCGUAAUUCGGGUAAUGGGGCUGGAGCGAACCCACAGGAAUUUCCUGGUUCGGCAUCUAACGGAGACCCCGUGUUGCAUAAAUUGAGGGAGGAUUUGAAGAGGUUACCAGAGGAUGCUGGGUUUGAGGAGUUUGAGGAUAUGCCCGUUGAGGGAUUUGGUCGGGCAUUGUUAGGUGGGUAUGGUUGGGUUGAAGGCAAGGGUAUCGGAAAGAAUGCAAAAAAGGAUGUGGACAUAGUGGUGUUAAAGAAACGAACUGGCAAGGAAGGGUUAGGGUUUACUGGUGGAUUACCGGAAUUACCAGCUGAAGCCAAUCGUGAAAAUGGUGGUGGGACUAAUAAUGGUAGGAGAAAAGGAAGUGACAGAGAUGGUAAGGAGAAGGGAAGGGAAAAAAAGGACUUUUAUGUGGGGAAAGAAGUGAGGAUUGUGGGUGGAAGGGAAGUUGGGAUGAAAGGUAGGAUACUUGAGGUGAAACACAGUGCGGAAGUUGCGAUUUUGAGGCUUUUAAAGAGUGAGGAGGAUGUAAGUGUUUAUGUUAGUGAUUUAGCCGAUUUGGGAUCAGUUGAGGAGGAGAGGUGUUUGAGGAAGCUGAAGGAGUUGAGGAUUAGAGAGAAAAGUGAUGUUAGUGAUAAGAAAAUUGGCAGAGGUAGGGAUAAAGAUUUGGUGAGCAGUUGGACGGAUAGUAGAGAUAGAGAAAUGAAAGAUAGGAAGAAGGAUGGUAAGAGGGGAAGGGGGGAGAUUAAGGGUAGCGAUAAGUCAUCCUGGUUGACUAACCAUAUCAGAGUGAGGAUUAUAAGCAAGAAUUUAAAAGGUGGAAGAUUGUACCUGAAAAAAGGGGAGGUCGUGGAUGUGGUUGGGCCAACAACUUGUGACAUAUCCAUGGAUGAGAACAGGGAGUUGAUACAAGAGGUGGAUCAGGAGCUACUGGAGACAGCACUUCCAAGGCGUGGAGGACCGGUUUUAGUUUUGUAUGGUAAACAUAAGGGUGUCUAUGGAAGUCUAGUGGAAAGGGAUACAGAGAAGGAAACAGGUGUGGUUAGGGAUGCUGAUUCACAUGAAUUGCUUAAUGUUCGCCUUGAGCAAAUUGCGGAGUAUAUUGGCGACCCAAGCUACGUAGGUUAUUAGUUGAUUCCUAGUAACGAGAUGCAACAUUUGCUUGAUUAGUAAUGUGCUUCCAAACUACAUUGGUUAUCAAUUGACUCGCAUCAUGAGAUGCAACAUUUUCUUGAUUGAUACUGUGUUUCAAAGUUCAAGGCCAGUGGCAGGGGAAAAGACUGUUGAGCUUGAGAUUUAAAGUGGACAGAAUGGUAGCUCAAGCAUUAUAAAACAAUAAAAAAUGCACCAAAUCAAGCCAGUUUGGAGUUCAAACUCAGCAAGCUGAAAGAGAAAAUUGCUUCCAGUGAUUCAAGGAUAUUCCCUCACUCUGUCUCCAUCGUACAGCUACCACCAAAUCAGUCGAACAUGUGAGUUGGUCCUUUACUGAGGCUUAAUUAGUAGACCAUCUAUUGGUGAAAGGCAUUGGAUAAGAUCCUUGUGCUUCAUAACAUUU